AUGGCUGAUCGUCCCGCGCCGCAGAAGCACCAGGGACACACUCAGUCCUACUCCAUCGAUCCACACUGGUACAUGGACUCUGGGGCGACAGAGCAUCUGACCAGCGAGAUGGGGAAGCUUCACACUCGUGAACCCUAUCAUGGCUCCGACAAGAUCCACACCGCCAAUGGAGCAGGUAUGCACAUCUCUCAUAUUGGGCAAGCAUCUCUUCUCACUAGACAUGCCAAUAGGAGUCUUCAGCUUCGCAAUGUUCUUCGCGUUCCAUCUGUGACCCGCAAUCUUCUUUCAGUUCCUAAACUCACACGUGAUAAUAAUGUGCUUUGUGAAUUUCACCCUUUUGAUCUUUUUAUUAAGGAUCGGGGCACAAGGGACAUUCUUCUUAGUGGGCGGUUGUGCCAGGGCCUCUACCGUCUGGAGCAUCCUGGCAUCGCUCGCGUUUUCAGUGGAGUUCGGGUCUCUCCGUCACAGUGGCAUGCUCGUCUUGGUCACCCGGCCACACCUAUUGUCCGUCAUAUUUUGCGUCGUCAUGAGCUUCCUAGUUUGUCUAGUAAUAAAGAUGUAGCAGUGUGA
rnacentral:rRNA from 1 species